UACGGAGGGUGCGAGCGUUGUCCGGAAUCACUGGGCGUAAAGGGUGCGUAGGCGGCCUGAUAAGUAGGGGGUGAAAUCUUGCGGCUUAACCGCAAGGCUGCCUUCUAAACUGUCGGGCUAGAGCACAGUAGAGGCAGGUGGAAUUCCCGGUGUAGCGGUGGAAUGCGUAGAGAUCGGGAGGAAGACCGGUGGCGAAGGCGGUCUGCUGGGCAGUUUCUGACACUGAGGCGCGACAGCGUGGGGAGCAAACAGG
rnacentral:rRNA from 1 species